rnacentral:rRNA from 2 species
UACGUAGGUGGCAAGCGUUGUCCGGAUUUACUGGGCGUAAAGAGCGCGCAGGCGGCCGGCCAAGUCGGAUGUGAAAGUCCCUGGCUCAACUGGGGAAAGUCAUUCGAUACUGAUCGGCUCGAAGGCAGGAGAGGGAAGCGGAAUUCCCGGUGUAGUGGUGAAAUGCGUAGAUAUCGGGAGGAACACCAGUGGCGAAGGCGGCUUCCUGGCCUGUUCUUGACGCUGAGGCGCGAAAGCUAGGGGAGCGAACGGG